rnacentral:rRNA from 1 species
AAGUACGGCCGCAAGGCUGAAACUUACAGGAAUUGGCGGCGGAGCACUACAACGGGUGGAGCCUGCGGUUUAAUUGGACUCAACGCCGGAAAACUCACCGGGGGCGACAGCAAGAUGUAGGUCAAGCUAAAGACUUUACCUGAAUCGCUGAGAGGAGGUGCAUGGCCGUCGUCAGUUCGUACUGUGAAGCAUCCUGUUAAGUCAGGCAACGAGCGAGACCCGUGCCCACUGUUGCCAGCAUGUCCUUCGGGAUGAUGGGUACUCUGUGGGGACCGCUGGUGCUAAACCAGAGGAAGGUGCGGGCUACGGUAGGUCAGUAUGCCCCGAAUCUCCCGGGCUACACGCGGGCUACAAUGGUUGGGACAAUGGGUCCCUACACCGAAAGGUGAUGGUAAUCUCUUAAACCCAACCGUAGUUCGAAUCGAGGACUGUAACUCGUCCUCGUGAAGCUGGAAUCCGUAGUAAUCGCGUUUCAACAUAGCGCGGUGAAUACGUCCCUGCUCCUUGCACACACCGCCCGU